rnacentral:rRNA from 1 species
GACGAACCGAGCGAACGUUGUUCGGAAUCACUGGGCUUAAAGGGCGCGUAGGCGGGCUGUCAAGUCUGGGGUGAAAUCCCGCGGCUCAACCGUGGAACUGCCUUAGAUACUGACGGCCUCGAGGGAGGUAGGGGCGAGCGGAACUCUCAGUGGAGCGGUGAAAUGCGUUGAUAUCGGGAGGAACACCAGUGGCGAAGGCGGCUUUCUGGCCUGUUCUUGACGCUGAGGCGCGAAAGCUAGGGUAGCAAACGGG